rnacentral:rRNA from 1 species
UCCGGUGGCUGUGUCGAAGAGGUCACACCCGUUCCCAUCUCGAACACGGAAGUUAAGCUCUUUUGAGCCGAUGGUACUGCACGGGCAACUGUGUGGGAGAGUAGGUAGUUGCCGGAA